rnacentral:rRNA from 1 species
CCUACGGGAUGCAGCAGUGAGGAAUAUUGGUCAAUGGGCGAGAGCCUGAACCAGCCAAGUCGCGUGAGGGAGUACUGCCCUAUGGGUUGUAAACCUCUUUUGUCGGGGCGCAAAAGCCGGACGUGUCCGGCUGUGAGAGUACCCGAAGAAAAAGCAUCGGCUAACUCCGUGCCAGCAGCCGCGGUAAUACGGAGGAUGCGAGCGUUAUCCGGAUUUAUUGGGUUUAAAGGGUGCGCAGGCGGAUUUUUAAGUCAGCGGUAAAAUCGUGGGGCUCAACCCCAUCCAGCCGUUGAAACUGGGGAUCUAGAGUGUGCGAGAGGUAUGCGGAAUGCGUGGUGUAGCGGUGAAAUGCAUAGAUAUCACGCAGAACCCCGAUUGCGAAGGCAGCAUACCGGUGCACAACUGACGCUCAGGCACGAAAGCGUGGGUAUCGAACAGGAUUAGAUACCCUGGUAGUC